UGGUCUUCGCUGCCAGAAUCUAAGUGGAAAGGAAAGAUUAGGAGAUUCCAAACGGAGCAGCCAGAUUCCACCAGGGAGGGGGGAAAAAAGCCCUCUCCAAGAGGGGUAGAAAAAGUGAACUUCAAGAAUUUUUGAGAAAAACUGAUUUGCAUUGGAGGGGAAACUACAAAUGCUGACUGCUUCAAUCAUGCACAAUUGUGGAAAGAAAGCAAGAUCUGCAGUGCAAAUUAAUAUAUUAAAAGUCAAGAGAAGUCUACUAGGAAACAAAUCAUUAACCUGUAUUAAUCCUAGUAUAUCCCAAAUGUUUUUAGCCCUCAAUUUCCCUUUUUAUAAUACAUACUGAACACUCUUUGUUACACUGUUGCAACGCAUUUUCUAAAUUCCAAAAGUAAAAUUAUUAUUUUUGUUGUUGUUGUUGAUUUCUCUUCUGUUUUUUGAUAUUUCUAUUAGCCAGAUCACAAAUCUGUAUGCUGGAAUAUCAUAUCUGGAGAGAAAUUCUGGUUUGUGCUGUAAUAGAAAUUUCUAAUCUCCAUUUUGAACUUCUGUGAUGGAAGAAAGAUCUAUCACUAAGCAAUAAACAUGUUUUCAUUUU
rnacentral:lncRNA from 10 species